UACGUAGGGCGCAAGCGUUGUCCGGAAUUAUUGGGCGUAAAGAGCUCGUAGGCGGUCUGUCGCGUCGGAUGUGAAAGCCCCGGGGCUUAACCCCGGGUCUGCAUUCGAUACGGGCAGACUAGAGUGUGGUAGGGGGAGAUCGGAAUUCCUGGUGUAGCGGUGGAAUGCGCAGAUAUCAGGAGGAACACCGGUGGCGAAGGCGGGAUCCUGGGCCAGUACUGACGCUGAGGAGCGAAAGCGUGGGGAGCAAGCAGG
rnacentral:rRNA from 1 species